UGGGGGAAACAUUCGCCUGUGGGAAUGAAAGUGCCACUUAAAUGGGAUCACAACGUGAGAACUAUCAAACUAACAACUACUAAAAAACUUCACACGUUCCCUUCGCUACAACCGAGCCCACAGUAUUCAACAUCCAUUUUCACCUGGGAGCCGCCUACUUCACCCACGCUAUGAUGGAAAAACAUCUGUGCUAUUGCUAAUAACGUCUACCAUGUCUACUGGACACUAUUGUCCUUGCAUGUUUUCGUCUUAGUUGCCACUAUGGCAGCACAAUGAGAAAGGUGUGUGUUAGGCUUGGAGAGGGAGGGAGAGAGGGAGGGGGGACAGGUAGGGCCUGGUGAGAGGGGGAUGUGGGGGCUGGGGAGCCAGGUGCUGGCGGAAAUUGCCAGACUAUUGCUAAAGCGACCUCAUGCCAGGAUAAUGCAAGGGCCAUAGGUGUCCCUGAGUCAAUCCAAACCCUCAUGCUGAUAGUCUUUCAAUGCCUGUGGGACAAUCUCUCCCGUAAUUGCUUUUUCCUGUUUCAAUUCUCCUCUGGACAAGGCCUAGGAGAGACAAAAGAGAAAAUAUUUUGUUUUCAGCUUUGCAAAAGUGCACAACCAUUAUUUAUGUGUCAUGUUUUAGCAUUUCUUAUUUAUUUGAAAGUGCAAAUUGUGUCUCUCACUUGGAUUAUUGGUCACAAACAUUGAGUGUUUUUGUUGUUGUCGUGCAGC
rnacentral:lncRNA from 1 species